CCCAGCCGCUGUCCUGCCGGCCGACACCUCGGCGCUCCAGCUCUAGCCGACACUUCCGGGUGCGACGGCGUAAAGCUGCCGGCUGGGAAACCUGCCCCACCGCUUGGUUGCCCUCCACCGGGGACAAGGAAAGCGGGGACACUGCAGUGUUGCGGUUUUGCAACCCCGAAGGACAGCAGUCCUGAAUGGCUAGCUGUUCGUGUGAGCCACUGAAGGUGCCAGGGACCCGGGCUUUUAUACUUUGGGAGCAGCACCUUCACUCUCGAUGAUCACUAGUUCUGCCCAUAAAGUAGAAUUCUUUGUUGGGAACGAGUUUGAUAAAAUGAGCAAGGCGAUUGGCCAUGGCAUAAAAAGAUGAAAUGGCAGCUAUGUCCCAGGCAUCUUCUCUACUGAAGCCAUAUAUCUCAAGCUUUUUGAAAUGGUCAUCUGUUAUAUCAUCAGCUUGGGAAACAGCAAGUGCAAACUCCAGCAUUGCUUUUUCCCCGAGCAGGAAGGUCAGACUUUCUCCAAUUCACACAGACCUGCAAGAAAAUAUAGUCAGAAGCAGAUUAUCUUGUCUACUGCAAAUAAAUAAUCGAACAAGGGCUUAAUAAAAUUGACAUUGAUGGUUAAAAAAAAAGUCCCUCAAGGUUAGAAUAAAGGAGCAAAAUCAGACUAAAACAAAGUUUUCUGAGAAAAGUAGAGCUCAAAGACUCUCUUUGACCUGCCCCCCACAUCAAUACCAAACAAAAUAUAAUAUUUGCAAAGAGUUUACAUUUAGCAAUUACUAUAAAUUAAGAAUGUGCUCAGUGUUUUGUAUUCAUUAUCUCAUUUAAUUCUUAUAAAAACCCCAGACAGUUGUA